rnacentral:rRNA from 1 species
AUUGAACGCUGGCGGCAUGCUUUACACAUGCAAGUCGAACGGCAGCGCGGGCUUCGGCCUGGCGGCGAGUGGCGAACGGGUGUGUAAUGCAUCUGAACGUGCCCAGUAGUGGGGGAUAGCCCGGCGAAAGCCGGAUUAAUACCGCAUACGACCUGAGGGGGAAAGCGGGGGACCGAAAGGCCUCGCGCUAUUGGAGCGGCCGAUGUCGGAUUAGCUAGUUGGUGGGGUAAAGGCUUACCAAGGCGACGAUCCGUAGCUGGUCUGAGAGGACGACCAGCCACAGUGGGACUGAGACACGGCCCAGACUCCUACGGGAGGCAGAAGUGGGGAAUUUUGGACAAUGGGGGGAACCCUGAUCCAGCCAUGCCGCGUGCGGGAAGAAGGCCUUCGGGUUGUAAACCGCUUUUGUUCGGGAAGAAAUCCUCUGGGCUAAUACCCCGGGGGGAUGACGGUACCGGAAGAAUAAGCACCGGCUAACUACGUG